rnacentral:rRNA from 1 species
AUGUGCAGCCUCGCGAGGAGCAGGAGGAGGAUGAUGGUUGGGAGAAAAAGAGGAAGCUGGACCUUACUGGGUUCAAGGACCCGUACAAUCCAGGGUAUAGUGACAACGAAGAGUAUGAGUAUGUCUCUGGAGAAGAUGUGGAUGUGGAUGAGGCAACUUCGCGUCCUUCAAAGCGAAGGAAGAGGAGAAGAUCAGGGCCAAGGGAGAUGA